GAUGAACGCUGGCGGCGUGCCUAACACAUGCAAGUCGAACGGAGAUUACGGACGGAAGUUUUCGGAUGGAAGCCUGUAAUUCUUAGUGGCGGACGGGUGAGUAACGCGUGGGCAACCUGCCCUAUACAGGGGGAUAGCAGCUGGAAACGGCUGGUAAGACCGCAUAAGUCGGUUAAAUCGCAUGAUUUGAUCGGGAAAUGAGCAAUCAGGUAUAGGAUGGGCCCGCGUCCGAUUAGCCAGUUGGCAGGGUAAAAGCCUACCAAAGCGACGAUCGGUAGCCGGACUGAGAGGUCGGACGGCCACAUUGGGACUGAGACACGGCCCAAACUCCUACGGGAGGCAGCAGUGGGGGAUAUUGCACAAUGGAGGAAACUCUGAUGCAGCGACGCCGCGUGAGUGAAGAAGUAUUUCGGUAUGUAAAGCUCUAUCAGCAGGGAAGAUGAUGACGGUACCUGACUAAGGAGCCCCGGCUAACUACGUG
rnacentral:rRNA from 1 species